AUUGAACGCUGGCGGCAGGCCUAACACAUGCAAGUCGAGCGGAGCGGCGGACGCGUGAGUAAUGCCUAGGUAUCUGCCUCGUCGUGAGGGAUAACGUUCGCUACCGGGCGCUAUUACUGCAUACUAUCACCUGCGCCUAGGUCGGAUUGGCUAGUGGGUGGGGUAAAGGCCUACCAAGGCGACGAUCCGUAACUGGUCUGAGAGGAUGAUCAGUCACACUGGAACUGAGACACGGUCCAGACUCCUACGGGAGGCAGCAGUGGGGAAUAUUGGACAAUGGGCGAAAGCCUGAUCCAGCCAUGCCGCGUGUGUGAAGAAGGUCUUCGGGUUGUAAAGUACUUUCAGCGGGGAGGCGUUACCCGCAGAAGAAGCACCGGCUAACUCCGUGCCAGCAGCCGCGGUAAUUC
rnacentral:rRNA from 1 species